rnacentral:sRNA from 1 species
AGGAUGUUGAGGGCUGAUUGAGUGAAUUCAUGGACCCGCUGUUGGUCAAAUGGUUUGACUUCUGUAAUUGGUUUAAAUGUGUCUUUCUCUGCUGCUUUAUUCCCUUAGAAAUCCUCAGCAGGUUGCGAGGGAAUAGGAGACUUUGUGGAGCUGCUGGAGGAACUGGAUUGGACCCUUCCAAGAUGACGCCUUUAGCUGAUCUCUGCUACCCCUUUCAUGGCCCGGCCCAGAUGAAAGUUGGCUGUGACAACACUGUGGUGCGCAUGGUCUCCAGUGGAAAACACGUAAAUCGUGUGACUUUUGAGUAUCGUCAGCUGGAACCGUACGAGCUGGAAAACCCAAAUGGAAACAGUAUCGGGGAAUUCUGUUUGUCUGGUCUUUGAAUGACCAACCCAGUGAUUUACAUGCUGAUAGCUAAGUGAGUUUUUAAUGGCCAUUGUGUAUGAUUUUGAUG